GAUGAACGCUGACAGAAUGCUUAACACAUGCAAGUCUACUGGAAUGUGGGGUUUUUAACUUAGAUGUGGGUGGCGGACGGGGGAGUAACGCGUAAAGAACUUGCCUCACAGUUAGGGACAACAUUUGGAAACGAAUGCUAAUACCUGAGAUUAUGAAUAUAUGGCAUCAUAUAAUUAUGAAAGCGAUAAGCGCGGUGAGAGGGCUUUGCGUUCCAUUAGCUAGUUGGAGAGGUAACGGCGCACCAAGGCGAUGAUGGGUAGCCGGCCUGAGAGAGUGAACGGCCACAGGGGGACUGAGGCACCGCCCUUACUCCUACGGGCGGCAGCAGUGGGGAAUAUUGGACAAUGGACCAAGAGUCUGAUCCAGCAAUUCUGUGUGUACGAUGACGUUUUUCGGAAUGUAAAGUGCUUUCAGUUGGGAAGAAAAAAAUGACGGUACCUACAGAAGAAGUGACGGCUAACUACGUG
rnacentral:rRNA from 1 species